CUGACAGCCGUGAAGACUCCAGCCUUCAAUUUACUUAUCCACAGAACAAAUAGAGUGGAAACAGUGGCAAACCCCAGCUUUCCGCACAGCACUUCCACUGCCGGUCACACCCUGACCUAGGGAAACCUUCCCUGAACGGGUGAGAAGGCUGCGUUGUCUCCAGACUCACACAGCCUUGAUUUCC
rnacentral:sRNA from 1 species